GUCUUCGUGGCUCAGUAGGUUAGAGCGUUGGUCUCAUACAAUUCUAUGAAUUUCUAUAUGAAUUUCUAUGAUUCAACCUAUAGGUUGGGAUAUCCAAAGGUCGUGAGUUCGAACCUCACCGAGGACA